GACGAACGCUGGCGGCGUGCUUAACACAUGCAAGUCGAACGGUGAUGACAGGGCUUGCCUUGUCGGAUCAGUGGCGAACGGGUGAGUAACACGUGAGUAACCUGCCCCAGACUCUGGGAUAACCCCGGGAAACCGGGGCUAAUACCGGAUAUGACACGGAGAGGCAUCUCUACCGUGUGGAAAGUUUUUCGGUCUGGGAUGGACUCGCGGCCUAUCAGCUUGUUGGUGAGGUAGUGGCUCACCAAGGCGACGACGGGUAGCCGGCCUGAGAGGGCGACCGGCCACACUGGGACUGAGACACGGCCCAGACUCCUACGGGAGGCAGCAGUGGGGAAUAUUGCACAAUGGGCGCAAGCCUGAUGCAGCGACGCCGCGUGAGGGAUGACGGCCUUCGGGUUGUAAACCUCUUUCAGCAGGGAAGAAGCGCAAGUGACGGUACCUGCAGAAGAAGCACCGGCUAACUACGUGCCAGCCGCCGCCGUAACAC
rnacentral:rRNA from 1 species